UACGUAGGGGGCAAGCGUUGUCCGGAUUUAUUGGGCGUAAAGAGCGUGUAGGCGGCCAGGUAGGUCCGUUGUGAAAACUCGAGGCUCAACCUCGAGACGCCGAUGGAAACCAUCUGGCUAGAGUCCGGAAGAGGAGAGUGGAGUUCCCGGUGUAGCGGUGAAAUGCGUAGAUAUCUGGAGGAACACCGGUGGCGAAGGCGACAUCCUGGACCGGUAUUGACGCUGAGGCGCGAAAGCCAGGGGAGCAAACGGG
rnacentral:rRNA from 1 species